CUAGUUCCAAAAUAUAAACCACAACCAUGCAAAUUUCCACACAAAGAGUGGAACGGUAAUAAUCAUCUCCUAGUGACUUUGUCUUCAGAACACAUUUGGGAAGUUAUUGACAGAUGGGCGGCGAGUGUGGCUGACACAAAUGGUUGUCAUGCGCCAUCUAGUGGCUCAACGUGAAACUGCUCCUUCGGGGGAAAGGCUUUGGAGCAAGCUGGUCUCCCUCCGAAUUUCAGUGCCGGGAGACAGCCAUGCACAUUGUCCACCUCUAAGGCUUUACACGGAGAGGGACCACCGAGGAAAGCAGGACACCGCUUCCCAGCACCUCUUAGUUACAACUAAGAAGUAAGCAGCCGGGGAAACUGUUUCUUACUGGAUCCACAGAAGCGAAACCGGGAAGCAAGUGGAGACACCUUUGCCUGCAACAGUUGUGGUAGAAAGCAAGAAAAGGCUGCGAACAAGUAGCAACAUGAAGAAUCUGAUCGUUAUACAGGUGACGUCACCUAUCAAAAAAACCUUGAAACAUUUCAUCACGUUGGUGCACACUUCUCAAUUAAAAACCCAUUGUCUGAAAGCUAGAAUGAGAGAAACCUAUUCUGAAUAUUUACCUAUUCGCAGACGUUCCUGUUGGAAAGGAGAUCAGACUCAUUUUCAGCUGCAGGGUGCCUCGCUACAAAUCCUUAUUGUUCUAUGAUGAAAGAGAAGAAAAAUAAAAUUUGCAAAAUUCCAGUCUCUGGCCCCUGGCAUGUCCCUGCCUUUCCUUUUUCUAUCCAGUCCUCUGCCAGCUCGGCUAAGGCCCGGGGCAAACGCUUUUUCUCACUGCACCUUUAAGUGCACCUCAAAAUAAA